UACGUAGGGGGCAAGCGUUGUCCGGAAUUAUUGGGCGUAAGAGCGCGUAGGCGGUCCGAUAAGUCGGCUGUGAAAGUCAGGGGCUCAACCCUUGGAAGCCGGCCGAUACUGUCGGACUAGAGUCCGGAAGAGGCGAGUGGAAUUCCCGGUGUAGCGGUGAAAUGCGCAGAUAUCGGGAGGAACACCAAUGGCGAAAGCAGCUCUCUGGGACGGUACUGACGCUGAGACGCGAAAGCGUGGGGAGCGAACAGG
rnacentral:rRNA from 1 species